CCUACGGGAGGCAGCAGUAGGGAAUAUUGCUCAAUGGGGGAAACCCUGAAGCAGCAACGCCGCGUGGAGGAUGAAGGUUUUCGGAUUUGAAACUCCUUUUUUUAGAGAAGAUAAUGACGGUAUCUAACGAAUAAUCACCGGCUAACUCCGUGCCAGCUGCCCCGGUAAUACGGAGGGUGCAAGCGUUACUCGGAAUCACUGGGCGUAAAGAGCGCGUAGGCGGGAUAACAAGUCAGAUGUGAAAUCCUAUGGCGUAACCAUAGAACGGCCUUUGAAAAUGUUAUUCUAGAGUAUGGGAGAGGUAGGUGGAAUUCUUGGUGUAGGGGUAAAAUCCGUAGAGAUCAAGAGGAAUACUCAUUGCGAAGGCGACCUGCUAGAACAUAACUGACGCUGAUGCGCGAAAGCGUGGGGAGCAAACAGGAUUAGAUACCCCGGUAGUC
rnacentral:rRNA from 1 species